rnacentral:rRNA from 1 species
UAGCCCUAAAUCUUGAUGACCCCAAACACAAACAUCCGCCUGAGAACUACGAGCACAAACGCUUAAAACUCUAAGGACUUGGCGGUGCUCUAAACCCACCUAGAGGAGCCUGUUCUAUAAUCGAUAACCCACGAUUCACCCGACCACCUCUUGCCAAAACAGCCUAUAUACCGCCGUCGCCAGCCCACCUCGUGAGAGCACAACAGUGAGCCCAACAGCCCACAGCCCACUAACAAGACAGGUCGAGGUAUAGCCUAUGAGGUGGAAGAAAUGGGCUACAUUUUCUAAAAUAGAAAACCCAACGAAAAGGGGCUUGAAACCUGCCCCCAGAAGGCGGAUUUAGCAGUAAAGUGGGA